rnacentral:rRNA from 1 species
ACUCAAAUGAAUUGACGGGGGAGCGCACAACCGGUGGAGCAUGUUGUUUAAUUCGAUACGAAGCGAAAAACCUUACCAAGAUUUGACAUGUAACUGCACGGUCAUGGAAACAUGGCCUUCUUCGAGAGUGUUACACAGGUGAUGCAUGGCUGUCGUCAGCUCGUGUCGUGAGACGUCCGCUUAAGUGCGGUAACGAGCGCAACCCUUAUCCCGCGUUAUAUUUUCACGGGAGACUGCCCCUGUUCUACAGGGGAGGAAGGAGAGGACGACGUCAAGUCAGCACGUCCCUUACAUCUUGGGCCACAAACAUCCUACAAUGGAGCCGACAACAGGUCGCGACGGGGUAACCCUGAGCCAAUCCUGCAAACGGCCCCUCAGUUCAGAUUGAGGGCUGCAAUUCGCCCUCAUGAAGUCGGAAUCGGUAGUAAUCGCAAAUCAGCAGGUUGCGGUGAAUACGUUCUCGCUCCUUGUACACACCGCCCGU